rnacentral:rRNA from 1 species
GGAAUCUUGGACAAUGGGCGAAAGCCUGAUCCAGCCAUGCCGCGUGAGUGAUGAAGGCCUUAGGGUUGUAAAGCUCUUUCGCCAGGGAAGAUAAUGACGGUACCUGGAUAAGAAGCCCCGGCUAACUUCGUGCCAGCAGCCGCGGUAAUACGAAGGGGGCUAGCGUUGUUCGGAAUUACUGGGCGUAAAGCGCACGUAGGCGGCUUUCCAAGUUGGAGGUGAAAUCCCCGGGCUUAACCCGGGAACUGCCUCCAAAACUGAAAGGCUAGAGUCCGAGAGAGGUGAGUGGAAUUUCCAGUGUAGAGGUGAAAUUCGUAGAUAUUGGAAAGAACACCAGUGGCGAAGGCGGCUCACUGGCUCGGUACUGACGCUGAGGUGCGACAGCGUGGGGAGCAAACA